rnacentral:piRNA from 1 species
UGAUGUAUCCUCAAAUUUUCAAAACGAGA